rnacentral:misc_RNA from 1 species
CUGAUUCUAAAGGAUGUGCUGGCCUCACAAGGCAAAAAAUAAAGUGCACUCCGAAACCUCAUACCCCUGUGCAUCCUAUGUAGUCCAGCAUUAAGGGAGAAUUCAAUUCUCCUGCUGUGACUAUGUUUUUAUACACUCUUUAAAUUUUAUAGAAUGAUUACAGACCUUAACAAGUCUAAUAAAUAUAAUA